AAUGUACACAUGGUAGAUUGAAGCUGGUGGCUUGCAGACUGCGUCUAUCUGGAGAUAGGCAGCGAGCCGAUGGAUAAUAACGCUCCGGGAGAAUGAUUAUGCAGCAGUUAGUUAAGGAUAGGCUUUUGUGGUAUGGCAGCAUAUGAGCUGAUUCUCCAGCCGGUUGUCUCUGACGAGACGCACUGAUUGGGAUCUGCUUAUUCCACAGAUCAAAAAGGAGCCAGAGAGCGUUCCUGGUUCUUUAACCACAGGACACAGCAGCCUUGAAGCUUUCCCCUCUGCUUAAGCAGGACAAAGAAAGAGAGG
rnacentral:lncRNA from 1 species